ensembl:lncRNA
UGCAACUAUAUAUCACAUUGUGCAUCAGCAUCAUGUAGGAAUGUAGGACGUCCACAACCACUCCUUUCCCAGCGUGCAGACCAUGUGACCUAAACUCCUUCCUCCUUACAUUCUUAUUGGACAAGAACUAACAUGUCUCACAUUACAGAAGCAUGAAGAAUGAUGUGAAGGUAGAACUCCUGGGAUCAGAAAUGUACCAUGUGUGUAUGAGAGCUAGAUUAGAUGUUGCUCUCCUGAGGGUUCUCCUCCAUCACUCUCACUCCUCCAGCUGAAACCCACGCCAGCAGUGAGUUCCCUCUGAGAGUAUCCUUCCCCUGAUUACCCAUAAUCCUCUGGACUUAUUCGCACCUCAAACUAAAUCACCUCCUGCAUGUACAACAGUCACACCACGCACCAAACAGAAAGAGGGCGUGGCCUCAACUUUUUAUAAUUAUCACAUCACUUCCCUUCUCAUUUGCAUACUGGCCGCGUUUCUGUACGUAUCGUCUAUCUCAAUAAUUAGCUUUAGUGGACAUAAAUAAAGUGUUACAACGUAGCAAGAAAGGAUGUUUUUAUGGAUUAUUCAUAUUUAAACACGAUUUAAAUAUUCAUCUAAAUAUGAAUGCAUUUUUAACAUUAAUGCAAUUUAUGACUUCAUGUGUGAAAAUCGAGAAACACUGGGACAACUUUCCAUUUGAUGUUCUGUAACUGGUCUGAACUGUGGUGUGCUACACUACACAAGGUGUAACAAAGUGGUCAUGCUGUAGUCUCUACUUAGUGCACUUCAUGUCCACUAACACUAGAACUCCUCUUGGGAUUGAGCCGCAGUUUAAAUGCAGAAGGAAGAACAGCGCUGAGCCCAAUGAAGUAAAAACACAUAAAGACUUCACAAAUAAUAAAAAGUACUGAAAUAAAAAUAAACGUUAAUCAAAAAGUUACAGAGUCAAUGUAGUGCAAUAUUUCUGACCCGGAGAGACGGAGAGAUAAAAACGGAAAAAUCAUUAAUAUGACUGUUAUUCAUCCUUAUUCAUCCGUAAUUACUUCUCUAUCCAUCCCUCCAUUACCCUAAUGACACUGUGUGUGUGUGCGCGUGUGUAGACUUAUCAUAGACCCACACACACUCAUCUGCACAAGUACUUAACUGUCAACACACACACACACACACACACACACACACACACACACAGAGCUAUUGUUCCAUGUUGGCCACAAGGCCGUAGGAGAGAGAGAGACGAUGGCACUGACAGCACUUAGG